ensembl:lncRNA
GAGUCAGCCUUGCACCAGGGCGCUGAGGUUACCACUCUGACCCAGGGGCUGCAAAUUCACCUCCGUGGGACUGUCCUCGUACCACUGGUGGCACAUCCACCAGUAAUUCACUGAGAGCUGCAACAACAAUGAACAGAAACGCAGCAGAAAAUCCAGAGUGAAAUCGGGGAACCUUGGGCUGAGGACAUCAGUUACCUGACAAGGACAUUUUCGCUCCUGCAUCACCUGAGAUUGCUACAGGCCACCAGCCCGUGGCACUCUACUUCAGUUGUUCCUCUCCUGGGAUGGAAUUUUGGCUCCAUUAAGUCUACGGCAAACUCUUGGUUGACUUCGCCGGGGCCACAAUGCUCAGCUGGAGGAGGUGAAGCUCAGGGAAGGCAGCAGCAUCACAAGUCCAUCUCAUCACAGCCAGGCACCCCUAUCGCACACGUAGCCCAACUGCACGGACCGAUCCAAAAGUUGGAGUGUUCAAAUGUUCUGAAAUAGUGUUUCUAGGAACGCCCAGCAACUUGCACCUAAUCCCAGCACACUCAAACAUCAGAAAGCCCACAGUUUUUUAUUGUCUUCUGGGAUUUCAGAAUGGUGUAGAACACAUUUUUAUAAGUGGGAUCUAAGUGAUGGUGGUUUUCCUGACCAUGAAGCUAAUUGAAGUAAAUAGUUUAACCACAGUUUUUAUUAUUUCGAAACGGUUAUAAACUUUGAAUACAAGCAUUUCUUUCUGCUCUAACCUCAGGCUUUUCCCUUAGCCCCUUUUGGUGCUUGGUUAUUUUAACGUUGUCUUCUCUUACACAAGAUCUCUGCUUUAUAUUCAUGAAAGAGAAAUCAAUAGCUGUUUUCUUGACUUUCCAUUGAAAUAAUCCAUAUGGGGGUUCAGCUGUGAUCACACUUUCAGUAUGAGAUCUCCUCUGCGUGGCGGCAGCAGUAUGCAAACCUCAGCAGACAUCUCUGCAUUUCCAUCAUUCAGAACUCCUCGCUGCACAGUGCUAUCACCAUUGCACUUCACACAAAAAAGGUCAGAGAAUUGUUUCCUAAAGAGAAAACAAAAAGGAUUAAAAUAUGAACUGUCAGUAGGAGUGCAGCAAACCCCGCAGGUUUCCAUUGCACAGAUGUGCUCCCGCAAAGAUGGGCGAACAGCGCAGCCCGGCUGACACGGUGCAGGCAGGAGGCACAGCAGCACUGCCUCGUGCAGCCUUCCUGCCUGCCUUGCUGUGCAUCUCCUUUCUGCGCAGGCAUGAAAGCAUGGCUGCUGGUUUGGGGACCUCCUGUCACGGCCCUGUCAGCACAGAUGUGCAGGAGUUGCCUGGCGCGGGGCUCUGCUGAAGGCCGAACGCUGCAGGCAAUGCCGCGCUCCUCCUUUAGCUCUGCUCCCACGCAGAGGCCAAAUACAGCUCCUGAAUCAAAAGCGACACGGGAGAUGACUUCCCCUGCAGUCAGAAAGCAGCUCUGCGGGGGGUUGGCCAUGCUGAACCUGUGUCAUCCAUGCCACCCAAAUUGCUGAGCCUCUGCCCAUUGUGCGAGCUCUGAAAGCAUGACGCUGCAC